rnacentral:tRNA from 1 species
AUGAGCUUGAAAAGCAUAUAUUUUGAAAAUAUAAGAAAGAAUUAAAAUUCUAUUGAUUUGUACU